AUUGAACGCUGGCGGCAUGCUUUACACAUGCAAGUCGAACGGCAGCGCGGGCUUCGGCCUGGCGGCGAGUGGCGAACGGGUGAGUAAUGCAUUGGAACGUGCCCAGUAGUGGGGGAUAGCCCGGCGAAAGCCGGAUUAAUACCGCAUACGACCUGAGGGUGAAAGCGGGGGACCGAAAGGCCUCGCGCUAUUGGAGCGGCCGAUGUCGGAUUAGCUAGUUGGUGGGGUAAAGGCUUACCAAGGCGACGAUCCGUAGCUGGUCUGAGAGGACGACCAGCCACACUGGGACUGAGACACGGCCCAGACUCCUACGGGAGGCAGCAGUGGGGAAUUUUGGACAAUGGGGGCAACCCUGAUCCAGCCCUGCCGCGUGCGGGAAGGAGGCCUUCGGGUUGUAAAACGCUUUUGUUCGGGAAGAAAUCCUCUGGGCUAAUACCCCGGGGGGAUGACGGUACCGGAAGAAUAAGCACCGGCUAACUACGUG
rnacentral:rRNA from 1 species